ensembl:lncRNA EPIC1 epigenetically induced MYC interacting lncRNA 1
AAGAAGGAAGGCUGGUGCAGAGGGUGGGUCCGGGGCACCGCAGCGGGAUUGGCCUCUGGUCGGAGGGAACUUGCGGUAGGGAAGGCAGGGGAGGGGAAGAUGUGAGUGGGUUUGUACAUGCACUGCUGUGAGAUGAGAGGGUUUGCAUUAGUCAGGGUUCUGCAGAGAAACAGAGCCAAUAGGAUACACGUACAUAGGAAGAGAUUCGUAAGGAGACACUUCGUGCAAUUCUGGAGGCUGAGAAGUCCCACGAUCUGCUGUCCGCAAGCCGGACACCCAGGAAUGCUGGCAGUGCAAGUUCCAAGACCUGAGGGCCGGGAUCCAAUGGAGUGGACGCCAGUCAGAGUCUGAAUCCCUGAGAACCAGGAGUACCAACGGCCAGAGGGAACGGAUGUCUGCCUUGGGUCAGGCAGAGAGAAUCCAAACGCCCUCCACCUUUUUGUCCUGUUCCGGCUUCCACAGAUUGGACGAGGCCCACCCACCUUGGGGAGGGGCCAGCUGCUGUGUUCAGUCCGCCAUUGCAAACACGAAGCUCUUCCAGAAACGCCCUCACAGACACCCCGGAAGUCACGUACCCACUCUGUAGGUGCCCCGGGGCACAGGCAAGCGGACGAGCCAGUUAUCCCUCAGAGCUCCUGCUGCCUCGCCCGCUUUCUCUCGGAAACGUGAAGUGUGGCCUCAGCUGAAAGUGAGGUGGGCCUCAUUCAAUCAGUUGAAUUCUUCAAGAGAGAAAAACUGAAGUCCCUUAGAAGGAAAGAGUUCUGCCUUCAGACUGUCUUUGAACUUAAGACUGUAGCGUCGACUCCUGCCGGAAUUUCCAGCCUGCUGGCCAGCUCUGCAGAUUCACACUUGCCAGCCUCCACAAUCGCAGCUGAGGCGGAGGAACCCUAAGGGCUCAUUGAGAUCAUGGAUUUGCCCUUCUAUGCAUUGAUGGAGCACCUGCUGCCCACAGCGUCUGUAUUUGGUGCUGGGAUGCUGAGGACACUGAGAUCUUCAAACAGAGGCUGCCACUCUAAGCAAACAGAUCCCGAGCCCUGGACUCUGAAGCUUGGGCCCAGUUCUCCUUUUCUCCGGGUUUCAGAUCCCACUGUGAAGUGAGGGGGCCCUUCUGAUUCAGGACCCGGGGAAGCCAGGGGCAUGAGCAUCGGUGCCUCUUCUCUAUUUCAAGGACCCUUCUGGGUGUAAAGUUCUCUGAGAUGCCUUACAUGGAUUCCCACCACUGCAAGAUAACCAUCGUAUGUAAAGUGUUAUGACCAGCAGAGCGUAAUUGAAGUGCAUUCCAGAGGGAAAGACAGCGGCUCAGAUUCUAUUGAAAGAAACAUGACAUAAUGAUACCACAGCAAAAGCCAAUCUUGCUCCUUUUUAAAAAAUUAAAAACAAAACAAAACAAAAUUAAAAAACAAGAAAAAACACCACCAUAGGAUGUCCACCCUGGGAGACUAAUUCUAAGAGAGAAGCUCUGUUCUUCCACUGCUAAUCACUCCAAAUAAAUACCACGACUGAGCUUGUCGGAGAAGAGAGAGCAGCAACAGCCUUGCCCACAGGUCUUCUCAUCUGCAUGAGAACAAAGUGGAUGGCUCAGAAAGACAGAGACACUCUUCCAUCCAAUAUGAAAUCCCAUCAGAAGUGUAGAGAGGCCUCCAGCUGCAUCCACCUCCAGGCCCCACCCAGCCUCCUGUCCUGAGCCGCUUUGGAUGAGAUCAGGGGCUCAUGAGCCAUGCAAAGCCAGCCCGGCAUUCCUGCCCAGAACAGCCAUGCUUGCAUGUUUCUGUACAUUUCGUCCAUGGUCUUCUUGUCCACAAGUCUUAGCCGGCCUAUUUCCCUUCUCCAGAAACAUAAACAUGGUAUUUGUAAUUUUAUUAUCACCAA